rnacentral:misc_RNA from 1 species
AAACAUUAGAAAAUGUAUUUUACAUUAAAUAAACGGAGCCUAAAUCAUAUUUCCAAUUUCAUGAAAAUGGGAGGAAUCAAAAUCCAUCAAAUGUAUAUAAGAGGCAAGCUACAGAAGUAAUCAGUAUCAUUUAACAAUAUGCAAUUUAAUCCUAUAACAUUUAGAAAAGCUAAUAAAUCCUUUACAACACUCUAGUCCUGAUACUCCAAUUGUGCUUCUGCAUUGUUAAACUGAACCCACAUCUUUGAUUUGCAGAACUUGAUGAAAAAAUACCAAAGAAUACCAAGAAGAGUUAAAAUAGCACUCACCAAAUACACAGUUGUGGUUGCCACUGCCAUUACAUAGACCAAAAACCCAGAUGGAAUCAAGCACAUGAUUACCAGACCAGGCAACCCCAUUGGCACUCUAAAUGGCCUCUUUAUAUUUGGCAAUUUUCUUCUUAACCAUAAAAAUGAUGCAAAUUCCAGUAACAUACCCAAGCAAUACAAGAAAUUCACUGAAGAAAUUAUAUUAUCAAAAUCCAUAUAAGAACCUGCUAGUGCUAUUAGUGUUGAGAUUAAAAUUCCCAACCAAGGUGUGUUAAACCACCUUGAUCUCACUCCAAAAGACACUGGCAAAAAUCCUAAAUCUGCCAUACCCAGAAGCUGGUAUACACAGCUGCUUAAUUGAGCUUCAUAAAGUCCAGCAACUGACAAACAUGCACCGAUUUCAAUCCAAAUCUUCAACCAUUUCCCAGCAAUCAUUUCACCCAAAUCAGCAAAAUACCCAUCUACCCAAUCUUCUUGUUUUAGUGGUAUAGCCCCAGUAGCAGCUAAAAGAGGCACUAAAUAACCCAAACAAGUGACCAACCCAGCAGCAAAAAGUGCUUUUGGAAAAGUUCUUCGAGGGUCCUCAACUUCCCCUGCUAAAGUACUAGCAGAAUCCCAGAAAUUCAAGUUCCAAAAAAGAGUAUUGAAAUACAAAGUCCAAUCUUUUUGGACACCCUUUUCGCCCAAACUGAUCCACCUGGAAGGAUCGAUCUUGGGGAAUGAAAACAGAGUCAAUACUACGAAUGGUGAGAGGGAUACAACACCCAAAGUCACUGCAGUGUAUCCAACUAUAGCCAAGCCUGUGUAGUUCAGAAAAGAUAGCAUCAAAGUUAAGACUAAUACUGCAACAUAGUGAGGCAAACCUGUAGAGAAAACUGGAAACACUAGCUUGAGAUAAUCUAUGCAAAGAACUGGGUAUGAGGCCAAGUUCAGGACACCAGUAAGGAACUUCCAGGAGCCCAACAGCGAACCCCAGAAGGGCCCAAAAGCCUGGUCAGCCCAGAUGACAAAACUGCCGUUGCCGGGGAAGGCAGCGGUGAGCUCGGCGGUGAUGAGAGCCUCAGGGAUGCUCCAGAUAAAGGGAAAAAUGAGGAAGCCCAAUAUGGCCCAAAGAGGCCCUGCAGCACCCACGGUGGAUUCUUCACCAUAUGGCCCGCCGGAGACCUCAAAGAAGAUAAGGAAAACAAGUGGGAUUAAAGCUAGUUUCUUGGGGGUGGCGGUGGCGGUGGCGGCGGCGGUGGCGGCUGAGGACUGUUUUUAGAACGUGGUGGAGAUGGUGAUAUGCGUGGAGGUGGUGGUGAUUUUGGUGCUGGAGAUGAUGGUGAUUGCGGUGCC